rnacentral:rRNA from 1 species
AACGAACGCUGGCGGCAUGCCUAACACAUGCCAGUCGAACGAGACCUUCGUGUCUGGUUGCGCACGGGUGCGUCACGCGUGGGAAUCUACCCUCAGGUUCGGAAUACCUCAGAGAAGUUUGAGCUAAUACCGGAUGAUUACGUAAGUCACCAGAUUUAUCGACUGAGGAUGAGCCCGCGUAGGAUUAGGUAGUUGGUGAGGUAAAGGCUGACCAAGCCGACGAUCCUUAGCUGGUCUGAGAGGAUGAGCAGCCACACUGGGACGGGGACACGGUCCAGAAUCCUACGGGAGGGAGCAGAGGGGAAUAUAGGAAAACGGGCGAAAGGAUGAACCAGCAAGGGCGGGUGAGUGAUGAAGGCGUUAGGGUUGUAAAGCUGUUUUACCCGGGAUGAUAAUGACAGUACCGGGAGAAUAAGCACCGGCUAACUUCGUG